CCUACGGGUGGCAGCAGUGAGGAAUAUUGGUCAAUGGGCGCUAGCCUGAACCAGCCAAGUAGCGUGAAGGAUGAAUGCCCUAGGGGUUGUAAACUUCUUUUACAUGGGAAUAAAGUGCAGUAUGUAUACUGCUUUGCAUGUACCUUACGACUAAGGACCGGCUAACUCCGUGCCAGCAGCCGCGGUAAUACGGAGGAUCCGAGCGUUAUCCGGAUUGAUUGGGUUUAAAGGGAGCGUAGGCGGGUUGUUAAGUCAGGUGUGAAAGUUUGCGGCUCAACCCUAAAACUGCAGUUGAUACUGGCAGCCUUGAGUACAGUAGAGGUAGGCGGAAUUCGUGGUGUAGCGGUGAAAUGCGUAGAUAUUACGAAGAACUCCGAUUGCGAAGGCAGCCUGCUGGACUGUAACUGACGCUGAUGCUCGAAAGUGUGGGUAUCAAACAGGAUUAGAUACCCUAGUAGUC
rnacentral:rRNA from 1 species